GAUGAACGCUGGCGGCGUGCCUAAUACAUGCAAGUCGAGCGAACAGACGAGGAGCUUGCUCCUCUGACGUUAGCGGCGGACGGGUGAGUAACCCGUGGAUAACCUACCUAUAAGACUGGGAUAACUUCGGGAAACCGGAGCUAAUACCGGAUAAUAUAUUGAACCGCAUGGUUCAAUAGUGAAAGACGGUUUUGCUGUCACUUAUAGAUGGCUCCGCGCCGCAUUAGCUAGUUGGUAAGGUAACGGCUUACCAAGGCAACGAUGCGUAGCCGACCUGAGAGAGUGAUAGGCCACACUGGAACUGAGACACGGUCCAGACUCCUACGGGAGGCAGCAGUAGGGAAUCUUCCGCAAUGGGCGAAAGCCUGACGGAGCAACGCCGCGUGAGUGAUGAAGGUCUUCGGAUCGGAAAACUCUGUUAUUAGGGAAGAACAAAUGUGUAAGUAACUAUGCACGUCUUGACGGUACCUAAUCAGAAAGCCACGGCUAACUACGUG
rnacentral:rRNA from 1 species